GGGUAUAACUCAGUGGUAGAGUGCUUGUCUAGCAUGCACAAGGUCCUGGGUUCAAACCCCAGCACCUCCA
rnacentral:tRNA from 1 species